UACAGAGGGUGCGAGCGUUAAUCGGAAUUACUGGGCGUAAAGCGCGCGUAGGCGGCUUUGCAAGCCGGAUGUGAAAUCCCCGGGCUUAACCUGGGAACUGCAUUCGGGACUGCAUUGCUAGAGUAUGGGAGAGGGAAGUGGAAUUUCAGGUGUAGCGGUGAAAUGCGUAGAUAUCUGAAGGAACAUCAGUGGCGAAAGCGGCAUUCUGGACCAUAACUGACACUGAGAGACGAAAGCCAGGGGAGCAAACGGG
rnacentral:rRNA from 1 species